ACUCCUACGGGAGGCAGCAGUGGGGAAUAUUGCACAAUGGGCGCAAGCCUGAUGCAGCCAUGCCGCGUGUGUGAAGAAGGCCUUCGGGUUGUAAAGCACUUUCAGUCGUGAGGAAGGUAGUGUAGUUAAUAGCUGCAUUAUUUGACGUUAGCGACAGAAGAAGCACCGGCUAACUCCGUGCCAGCAGCCGCGGUAAUACGUAGGGGGCGAGCGUUGUCCGGAAUCAUUGGGCGUAAAGCGCGUGUAGGCGGUUCAGUAAGUCUGCUGUGAAAGUCCAGGGCUCAACCCUGGGAUGCCGGUGGAUACUGCUGAACUAGAGUCUGGAAGGGCGAGUGGAAUUCCUGGUGUAGCGGUGGAAUGCGCAGAUAUCAGGAGG
rnacentral:rRNA from 1 species